GACGAACGCUGGCGGCGUGCCUAAUACAUGCAAGUAGAACGCUGAAGGAGGAGCUUGCUUCUCUGGAUGAGUUGCGAACGGGUGAGUAACGCGUAGGUAACCUGCCUGGUAGCGGGGGAUAACUAUUGGAAACGAUAGCUAAUACCGCAUAAGAGUAGAUGCUGCAUGACAUUUGCUUAAAAGGUGCAAUUGCAUCACUACCAGAUGGACCUGCGUUGUAUUAGCUAGUUGGUGAGGUAACGGCUCACCAAGGCAACGAUACAUAGCCGACCUGAGAGGGUGAUCGGCCACACUGGGACUGAGACACGGCCCAGACUCCUACGGGAGGCAGCAGUAGGGAAUCUUCGGCAAUGGACGGAAGUCUGACCGAGCAACGCCGCGUGAGUGAAGAAGGUUUUCGGAUCGUAAAGCUCUGUUGUAAGAGAAGAACGAGUGUGAGAGUGGAAAGUUCACACUGUGACGGUAGCUUACCAGAAAGGGACGGCUAACUACGUG
rnacentral:rRNA from 1 species